rnacentral:tRNA from 1 species
GCCCAGAUGGCGAAAUAGGUAGACGCGCUAGCUUCAGGAGCUAGUGGGGUAACACCCGUGUCGGUUCGACUCCGGUUCUGGGCA